GAUGAACGCUGGCGGCGUGCUUAACACAUGCAAGUCGAACGAAGUAUUUAGGACAGAUUACUUCGGUUUGAAGUUCUUUAUGACUGAGUGGCGGACGGGUGAGUAACGCGUGGGUAACCUGCCUUGUACUGGGGGAUAGCAGCUGGAAACGGCUGGUAAUACCGCAUAAGCGCACAAUGUUGCAUGACAUGGUGUGAAAAACUCCGGUGGUAUAAGAUGGACCCGCGUCUGAUUAGCUAGUUGGUGAGAUAACAGCCCACCAAGGCGACGAUCAGUAGCCGACCUGAGAGGGUGACCGGCCACAUUGGGACUGAGACACGGCCCAGACUCCUACGGGAGGCAGCAGUGGGGAAUAUUGCACAAUGGAGGAAACUCUGAUGCAGCGACGCCGCGUGAGUGAAGAAGUAAUUCGUUAUGUAAAGCUCUAUCAGCAGGGAAGAUAGUGACGGUACCUGACUAAGAAGCUCCGGCUAAAUACGUG
rnacentral:rRNA from 1 species